rnacentral:tRNA from 5 species
GUCUUCUUCUUCCUCAGGGGGUUGAGCAACGCACUCGUCAUGUGUAGGUCCGGGGUUCAAAUCCCCGAGGCGGCUUCA